CACAGUGUGGUGUAGUGGUUUGAGCAUUGGACUAUGACUCUGGAGACCAGGGUUUGAAUCCCGGCUCGGCCA
rnacentral:tRNA from 1 species